rnacentral:misc_RNA from 1 species
AACGCACAUUGCGCCCCUCGGUAUUCCGUGGGGCAUGCCUGUUCGAGCGUCAUCUACACCCUCAAGCUCUGCUUGGUGUUGGGCGUCUGUCCCGCCUCUGCGCGUGGACUCGCCCCAAAUUCAUUGGCAGCGGUCUUGCCUCCUCUCGCGCAGCACAUUGCGUUUCUCGAGGUGCGCGGCCCGCGUCCACGAAGCAACAUUUACCGUCUUUGACCUCGGAUCAGGUAGGGAUACCCGCUGAACUUAA